GUAUAAUUCCCAGCAUUUCAGAGGUAGUGUUGGCUGAGAUUAGCAAGACUAACUUAAUAAAGCACUAUCGUAAUUGCAUAUUCACUGGGAAAGGGAAAAGUAAUCAAAUGAAAAAGGACAAAACCGGCAGGGAAAGAAAAUUUAUUUCCAAGCAUCUACGAGAGUGCUACAAACAAUAGAGACUAAAACUCAAAGCAUUUGAAACUUAAAAAACGUAGUUGACAAUGUCCUUCUUAAAAAUCAAACAUAAAAACGUAGAAAAUGCAGUUAUUAAUUCUAAAACUUGCUCAAUAGUGAAACAAGACCAGAUAGAUAGCAUCAAUGAGGAUGGAGUCCUACAAAUGACUUUUUGUUUUUUUUAUUUCCAUUUGUUAAUUUGUAAAUUGAUACUCAUUUCAUUUUUUAAUAUUCAUUUAAAUUUAAAAUGGAGAAAUGUGCAAAUCUAGCAAAAUAUUCUUUGGAUUAUAAACAGAGAAAAAUCAACAACCAAAGAAAUUUGAACCAAGUUAAUAAAGUAAACUAUAGAAUUAUAUAGAAUGCAUACAGCUAUAAUAAAGUGAAAUAUAACAAUAAACAUUAUAGAGCAAAUCUGCUGAUUUAGCAAACUCUGCCUUAUUAAACAUAGGGAUAUAAUGGGACAAGUGAAUAUGUCGUGAUUAUAGAGCUGAAACGUCAUUCAUAAUUUUAAUGAGUUAAAUUUUAAUCUAACUACAUACAUGGGGGUCUUCAGAAAAGCAGUACACCAACAGAUCAGAUUUCCUCUCAGAUCAAGCAGUUGGGUACCUGACUGCAAUUGAAGGACGGGGUCUGUAAAAUGAACAGUAGAAAAAUGGAUAUCGCUUCUAUUUAUUGCCUCUUCCCAUAUUGCAGCUGCUGAUCUCUGACCCUAAACAGCAAACUACAUUAAAUUUAGAAGAACUACAGCUGUACACAGAUGCUGAAAAUGUGGAUGCACGGAACAUAUUCCAAUCCCUCGCUCGUUCUGAACUAAUAUAAAAAAAGUUAUAGAUCAUUUUUCGAUUAAAAACAUACAUUACAAAGAACGACUCUGAAAGCACUCCGUAUUUCUGUCAUCACAAAUUAGAACGCCUUCCUAUCAGUGGAUGAACCUAUUCUACUGCAAUAAAUGAAAAAAUAAAAUGAAAUAAAAGUAAGUGCCAGAAUCUUAAUUAAUACUCAGGUAAGGUAAUUGUCAGGUAGAACAGUCUUUAGGGAACUUAUAGCUAAAUGGGGUCAGAUUUCAGUCUCUCAAACCCGCAGCUUAGCGCAGACAGGGAAAUCACAAGCCUGGAAUAGGCUGUAAGCACAGAGUACUCCCGUCCACUUAUCAAGUCAGUUCUGAAACCUCUGGAAUUUCUAAGAUAUAAGAUAAAUGCAUAUUACAUGGGACAUAUUUAAAAGUAUUACACUUAAUUUAAUCCAGAAAACACAGUAGUAUUAUAGGAAGAUUAUUACUGUGUUCUGGGAGCAGCCACAAGCUGUAGAUAGAGGGUACAAAAUGUUCACCAGACGUUACAUUUUUUUUCUUUUAAAUCUAAAAAACAUUUUUAAAAUGUACUUGAUUUUUAAAUAAUCACUUAACAAGGCAACAAACCAACUACAAACACAUAAUAAAUAAGGCUAUUAAAAGACCACAACUGUAGUAAAUUAGUCAGAACUAUAAAUGGGACAUUAGAAACACUAUGUUUUGUUCUUAUAUGCUUAAUAACCAGAACAAGAAUUAAAAAAAGAAUCAGUUUAUUUCAAAGUCUGCUUCUUAUAUUGAAGCACAUAUUAAAGCAACAGUACAAUGUUCAUAAAAUAUAAGUGUGAUGCUGUAACAUUUCUUACAUGUCAGAAUACUGAUAUUUGUAUGUAUACUAAAAUAAGAAUUUUAAAAUUGUACAAAUAGAUACAUUAAAAAUGACAUAGAAAUAGGGCGCCUCCCACUGCAACAAGACAGAGUUUUUAUAUCUGGCACGUAUUAGUUCAAGAUGAAAGUAUAAGCAAAAAGAUUUACAAGAAUCAGCUGUAACAAGUUUUGAUGCUCAAGAGACAUAAUAAUUGUACAUUGUACUGUACAUACAUCAUAUGGGUUUAAGCUGGCUGAAUAUUAUAUAUUUCAAGUUUAAAAAUGCACUACCAUAUAGAGUGUCCAUAGUUUAAGGCGAAAUUACAGCUCAGAACUGUUAACUUUUCUAAUUUGUGGAAGCUUCUUUGACAUAAAAGAUUUAGAUGUUCAUAACACAUAAAAGAUUUCCCUUAUUUGUGGGUUCACUUUUAGCAUUUUCCUUCAUUUAAAUAUUCUGUAUUUCUUAAGUGGGUUUUUUCCUCUAGUGAAGUUGGCAGCCAACUUCUGUAUUUGCCUUCUGUAGGAAAAGGUACUUCACAGUAUUUACCACUUUUAUGUCCUUUUUUAUCAAAGGAAUCCCUUCUGUCAAAUGUUUAAAUGAGACUUUUCUUGAUUUUUAAAAAAAUACCUGCUUACAUUUCUUCUGGAUUCUUCAGAACAUUGGACACAGUUCUUAAGGCCAAAUAUUAAACUUUAUUGUUAAGAAUCAUCAUCGAAAGUGUCUUUGGAGCCAUACAAGUCUGCAAGUUUCUUAAAUCGAGGUCCCCAGUUUUGUAGAUAGUCGUAGUCCAAAUCAGAAUCUGUUGUCGCUGACUCUAAUGAGCUAAGUGAACCAGCCACUGAGCCUCUUCCUUCAUAGCCAUAGAUCUGAAUAGAAUCAUACGGAGGAGCAGUUGGAUCGUUAUCAGCCUCUUGUAUUCUUGUGUUGAUGAAAUCAUCAACAUCAACGCUAUUGGGAGCUGGUCGAAGCCCCGGUCUUGGCAUAUACUGAUACUCAGGUUUUAUGUCUUUACGAGGAAUAAAUCCAUUGAUGCCAUCAGGGUUCUGCAAAGUAGCUAUGUCAAAAGCUUCAGUAUCUUCCUCUCCUCCUCCUUCAUCAUCGUAAGUAAUAAUGUUCUCGCGGACAUCUUCUUCUUCAAAAACAAUGAGAGGUUCUUUCUUCUGCCUUUUCAGUGUUACAAACAACACUACAAUGACUAUAGGGAAAAAAAAAAAAAGUUAGACUGCACUCUUGAACAGAAACUGCUUUAAAAAUAGAUUAUUGCAUUCAUUGAAAUCUUAGCUUUUAUGCUCCAGUUUGGCAUGUAUUUUUGCUAGCAUCAGCAGUUUUGGCAUACCCAGCUAAGUAAAAGCUAUGAUGUUUGUACACAGAGUUGAACAUAAUGAUUCGAACGUUUCUCUUUGGGCUGAAUGCCAUUGCUCAUACUAAUUGUUUAUUACUGCAUAACUUUAAUUCAAAAAAAGGAUUUGUGGGCCCCUUGUGCUGUGUGACUGUUGCAGCACUGCCUCUGAGCGGUCCGAUGACAUGUUUGCUUGCAGCAAAAAACGAUGAAUCUCUUCUCUCUCCUGUAUGUCUAAAGCUAAACUCCAAUUUCAUGUUCUGGGCAUUUCUAUGAAAAAGGAAUUAUUCUGAAGCAACAGCUUCUCACUGCUGACUUCUUUAAAAUAACUUGAAUAUGUAAGAAAAUAAUGGCUGAUGAAUAAUAGGAACAAAUUAAAACAUUUUAUAUAAAUAUUUUCAAAUCAUCAGGAAAUGGUUUAUAGCACUUUCUUAAAAGCAAAUCUUUCAAGCCCUUCAUUUGUCUUCAACACAAGAGAAGUUGGAGGGAAAUAGCUGGCAGGAGCCAUUAAUCCUGGCUGACCUCAAUAAGGAACUUGUCAUCCAGGGAAGAUCACAAAACUUAAAACUGUAUGUCGUGACCUCCUUUAAACAGCGCUCCUGAUUAACUGAUACUGGGCCACAGAAGGACAUUCUUUGAGCUCACCCAGACAUAUUCAGUUGUGUUUGCUAUUGCAGUCAGCAUACACUGUGUUUCAGCUUGCCAAAUAAUUAGUACCACCUAUCAGAAUACACACUAAGAGAUUAAGAUUGGUUUAUACAUCUUGGAAUGAAAGGCAAGCUUAACUUUUAAAUACAAAUAAUUGUAGAAGAAUAAGUAAAUAACUACUUUACCAAGCAAAAUCACAAUGCAAGCAAGAAUGGCAAUUAAAGCUCCGGUGCUUAAUCCCGCAUUGAGUAUGUAGGCUUCGGCAUUACAGGAGAGCAAGGAGCCAUUGCUGUCACAGCCGCAGACUCGGAUGGUCAGGGUGUUGGUGCUGCUCAUAGGGGGGAGUCCUCCAUCACUUAUUACAAUAGGAAGAAGGUAUAAGUCUUGCUUUUGACGACUAAAUCCUUCGCGUCUAACAAGAACACUUGCAGUGUUAUCUCUGUUGUCUCUGAGGGUAAAAUUUGGAUUAUGAAUAAUUUCGGGUGGUAAACUGAAGAUAAAUCUUGGUCCAUUGGCUGAGUCAUCUUUGUCAUCAGCACUAAUUGUAAUAAAUUGCUGAUUGCUUCGAGCAUUCUCACAGACAAACGCUUCAUAGGCUGCUGCAAAUUUUGGAGCAUUGUCAUUGACAUCAACAACCUUAAUUGCAACUGGAACUUUGGCUUCCUGGUGUUGCUUGUGGACUUCAACAGCAAAGACAGAGAUAUUAUGCCAAGCAAUUUCUUCCCUAUCCAAAGCUUUUAUUGUCUUGAUGUUGCCAUCAUCUGCAUUAAUAGUAAAAUAUCUUUCAAGGUCAGUGUGACGAUCAAUUGAAUACCUUAUAGCACUGUUUGCAGCAUCAGGAUCUUUGGCAUGUACUUUUCCAACCACAGUACCAGAUGCUGCAUUUUCUUGUACUUCAAAAAUAUAACUUGGUUUUAAAAACACAGGCGGCUCAUCAGCGUCUUCCACUGUAAUCUUCACUGUUACUGUGUCCUUGAAUGGCCCAUUGCUGAUGAACUUUGGAUCAAUAUGCACGUUGGCUGCCUCUACCUUCAGGCUGUAGGACUUUUUGGUUUCAAAAUCCAAGACUUUCUUAAGCUUUACAACACCUUCCUGAGUCUCAUAGUCUGUUGUAAUUUCAAACAUAUCCAUGCCAUCUCCAUCAAUGAUGCUGUAAGCUACCAAGCCGUUUUCCCCAAUGUCUGGAUCUUUGGCCUUCACUCUUCCUACUUCCUCUCCAGGAACAGCUGCUUCUGACACAGACAUCUGGUACACACUCUGUGGAAACUUUGGUGGGUUGUCAUUGACAUCUGUAAGUGUAAUUGUCACUUUGGUUGUCCCUGAGAGGCCUCCCAUGUGUCCUCCCAUAUCUUUUGCCUGUAUUACAACGUGAUACUCUUCCUUAGCUUCUCUGUCCAUAUUUGGAAGGGCCGUUCGGAUAAUUCCUGUUUGAGCUUCCACUGAGAAGUACGGCUGACCUUCAAGAAUACUGUAAACCAAUUUGGCACUGUUCCCAUAUGUAGGAUCAUCAGCAUCUGAAGCUGUUACCUGAAUAACAGAUGUACCCACAUUUGAUCUCUCUGGCACAUUGGCAUGGUAGUUUUCGUGAAGAAAUUCAGGGGGGUUGUCAUUGAUAUCUUGGACUUUAACAAUGAAUUCUGAGGGCGGUUCCAAAGGUCUGUUGGUGUUCCUGUCUACAGCUUGUGCCGUGAGAGUGUACUGAGCUCUCUCCUCUCGGUCCAGUGUCUUUGUUGCAUGGAUGUUCCCUGAUUUGUCAUCAAUAACAAAAAUGAUUCCUGCUCCUUCACCUGAGAGAAUGUAUUUAAUGUUUCCAUCUCCAGAAUCAAUAUCUGAAUGAAGCCUUCCCACUAGUACAGGAUCUGGUCCUGUGUACUCUUCUAUAACAAAGAACUGAUUCCACACCCAGCCUCUUUUUGAACGAUGCAAAACUUGUCCUUCUUUUCCUUUUUCAUGGUGACCAUGAAGCGAUGGCCGUACGUGGUUUAGUUUUUCGGUAGUUAUGGCAUGGCUGUAAUAGAGCAUGCCCAGGCAGAUAAGAGCGGCAUGUAAACAAUUGUCCUCCUUCAUUUUUGGUUAUUUUGUAGGCACAGGAGUAUCCAAGAAUAUACCCCUUCCACCUUGGAAGUUAACAAGUUUCGGGCCACUGAAAAGUUUCAGAUAAAAUGUUCUGCACAUACGCUGCCACCGCACCUGGAAUGCAUCACUUUAAUGCUCUGCAGCUUCCCAACUUAAUUCUUUCACCCACUGGAAACAUGUUGCCAAUUUAUGUAGCAUAUUCCACACAUUUGAAACGCCACUUAAUGAUACGCUGAAGACAAUGCAGAUGAAAGCUUUCUGCUGCCACUUAUCCCGUGCUUCAGCUCUGGCUGCGCGUCCAGCGGGGCUGGAGGCUUCCCGGGGCCACCUCCGGAGGAGGGGGAGAGGAGGCAAGUCCCAUUCACAACUAGACGCCGAGCAGAGGCGGCAGCAUCUUCAGCCUAUUACACUCCACCGGCAGCGGCUGCUGAAUGAGGCUCCGAGCUAGUGGCAGGAAUUAGAAAGAGGGAGGGAGGGGAAAGGGGUGAGGAAAGAGGAGAGGGAGGGAGAGAGAAGGAGCAAGGGGGAGCGAAGCGAGAUGAGAGGAAGGGAGAAGCUGGAGGCUGUUGCUUCUUCUCUAUUUCCUUCUCCCUUCCCCCCAGCCCAGAGGGAAGCGAACCCCCGAGCCCGCCCAGGGGCCGCGCCCCGGAGUGCCCGCGACGGGAGAAGCGCAGCUGGGGGAGAGGGGCUGCGGAGCCCACACACGCGCGCACGGCUCUGCUCGGCUGCUCUCGGCCUCGCGGGCACCCACGCGCGUCCACGAGGGGACGGGGCCGCCCACCCCGCUGUGCCGACGGGACGUGCCCCUUCCCAACCCUGCCGCCACCCCUCUGCGGACGGCUCGGGACCACCCCACGGCAGCGCCUCCGCGGGUGGGCCCGAGCCCACGCAGAGCCCUGGGCACGGCCGACAUCACGGGGCUCUGCUGCCCGGACACACCUCGACACGGACAUAAAGCACCUCGGGUGGACGAGCAGCAGGAGCGCCGUGUGCUGAACGCACUCGCGUUUCCUCACAUAAUUACACAUUUCUCCAGGAAAAAAUUAAAACUUUCCCAAGCUUUUUCUACACAUGGAAGAUCUCAGCCUGCGCAGCCCAGAGCCCUCGAGACGCAGGGGUGAGCCCUCCCUUCCUUACACGAAGGUAAAUCUCGGGGCACGCUGCCCAGGUGGGGCAGAGCCGCUCGGCUCCUGUGUGGCAGACGCCCUGUGCCAACCCAGCGGCACCACAGCCACCCCCCGCCCCGCCACCACACAGGCACACACCGGCCUGCGAGACGUGCUCAGCUCCCUCACGGCACCGAGGUCCGCUCACUCGGAGGCUCAACACAGCGCAGGGAGGGAUGUGAUGCACACACAGCCCAUCGAGAAUCAGUCUGGAAAUGGCCAGGUGCACCUCUGUGAAAAGAAUCUGCCUGUCCUCAGGCAGCCCGCCUGCCCGCCCGCUCAUCCCCCACGCCACCAGGCAGCACUGCUCCGCGAUCGCACUGCUCAGCCCUGAAGAACAAGGCUUUUAUAUGCUGUGGUUAAUUAGCUCUGCCAAUAACUCCAGGCAAAGAAAAAAAAAAAAAAACUGGCACAAAAAGCUCCCACUGUACAAACAAAGAAUUUGGAAGGAGGGAAGCUGAUAAACAAUGCAUCCCAGGGAGGCCGGCAGGCACUGAACUCAGCCCAGCAAGCAGCAAGCACCAGGGCCUGGUGUCAGCCCUGGGGAAGGAGCAGCAGCUUCCUCCUGUCUGCAGGGCUGGGGAUUGAGAAUUAAAGCUACCAUUUGCUUCAGAGAGAUGCUGAGAGUUCCCAGUUCAUCCCACGGAGGAAGCAGGGCCUGCCUGCAUCCUGAGGAAGCCUGGGGUGCCCUGACAUCCAGGCCCUGAGCAUGGUGCCCACCAGCCACAGGGACAGCAGAUGCUGCAGGGAGCUCAGAGCUUGGGGCUGGCACUGGAAACACCAGAAAUACCCUGGGCUGAGCUGAGAGCGUGAGGUAACCAGACAGCUAAUUAACUGAUACUGAAGUACUAAAGGCUUUAUUUGGAUAGGAAAAAAGCUGUGGUGGUAAGAGAACCAGCUCCAGGGAACAAGUGGUUUUUGAUAGGAAAUGUGAAGAGUAAUAAAUUACUAUCGAGAAAUAAAGCAUGAAAAGAAUAGCAUUUGAGAAAGUUUUUGAGGAGAAGUAGCUGAGGAAGAGAGGUGAUGCACACUAAUUUAGAACAGUUUGUCAAGAAAUUGGUUUUGGAGAGAAAACAUGAGAGGAACGGAAACAUCUCAAAAUAGUUUCAUACAAUCCCAGCCCAAACCUAUUGACUUCAGUGUGUCAUCAGUCUCCUGUGACAAUAAUAUGAGAAUUACCAUUUGUUUUCUUUAUGGGCACAACGCAGCAGCUCUACUUAGCACAGCUCUGCUGCUGGGGCUGCCAAAAUCACCACUUCACUGAAGCCCAGGCGCUGGGCAGUUGGCUGAAGAAUUUUCCCUUUUUCCCUUCUCCUGCUGGCUUCAGCAGCACAGUGGAGGGGAUGACUUUUGUAAUUCCCUUUUUCAAACUGCUGAGAUCAGGGUUUUUUUUGGAUAUAAAGGAAAUGUGAAAGCAAUUUCAAUCUAAUUAAGCAUAUACAAUAGGUACCCAUAAUAUUCUCUAGUCAAAGAGCGUAUUGAUCUAUAAUGGAAGGUUUCAUUAAUUCCAUUUGAGGAGGCAUGUUAACAAAUGAGGGCAGUAACAUCUGAUCUGGUGAGUGCCUCGAGUUUCCUCUCUUCUUUCUGCACUAAAAUCUCAGAAUUAAGCUAACCAGAUCAAAUAUUAUUUUUCUUUUAUUUGUCCAUCUUCUUAUAGGACCUACGGAUGGAAGGUCCUAUCUGCACAAUUAACGCAGAACUCCUACUGAAAUCUGUGUGUUUGCACCACUCUGCUGAGUUUCAAUUCUGACUACGUUAAUAAUUAGAAUUGUACGUAAUGUCAGUAAGAAGAAGUCCCUCUAUCCAGAUUGGGCCACUAGCUGGAGAUACCACUCUCUAUACACUGAAAGUUCUCAACCACUAGCUUACACUGGAAACCUGCCUACAACCAUCUGAAGUUAGAUGAGAUGAGUCCUGCUUUUUAUGUUAGAUACAGAAGAAGAAAGAAGUCGUCAAACCAAAACCAAUAUGUGGUGCUGAUAGAUGAGGACAUUCACCAUAUUCCCUUGACUACAGAUUAUAUUCAGGCAACAACCCUGCCAUAAUUUCAGGAAAACAACUGCAGAGUCCUUGCACAAGACAUGACAGCAGUUCACAUAAAGAGAAACAGGCAGGGAGGAAGGGGUAACCAGGAACAUCCACAGAAAUACACAGCUGAAGUUCUAGCAGCCCAGUGCUCAAGUGUGCACUCACAACGUGAUAGACAGAGAACUUCACAGACUGCCCAAGUCGUGCCUUGUCAUUCCUAUCACACAUAAAGGUGAGGAAAAGAGGAUAAACUAUUGCAAAGUUCUGUGUUUGCAGACCAUUUCUCCUGACUAGUAACUCUUCACCUGUAAAGCCUUAGGCUAGAUACUACCUUUAUGAAGGUCAUGUCGCAGCCAAUGUAAAUUCAUUGUGGACAGUAUCAGAAUAAACCCAGCUUAAAAUGGGAAAUCCUUCCAAAUACAAUCACCACCUGUCUUUACAAAACAUUUACAUGUGGAACAAAAAGCAGGCCUCAGCUAUCCUGCCGCCCUGGAAGUCAUGGCAGAGCAGCAGGGGUGUACAGGAAGGUCUGCAGUUACCACUUACAGAUGCUUGAAACCUGGUAGCAAAAUGCAAUCAGUGUUAGACAUAAAUAAAGGAAGUUUAUACAUAUUUUAAACAGUACCUAUUUUUGGAUAUCCAUAUAUUUAGGUUAAGAACAUCUGUGAUAACAGAUCUGCGAAACCUAAAAAAAAAAAGAUUCCUUUACCUACUGUGGGCUUACAGAAUCUGAAGUUAAAAUCCUGCUCAUUGUUUGGUAAGUUAACUCAUUUAUCAUUUCAAAAUAAGCUAGCUGGUUUGCUUCCUCAGUAUCUGAAGGGGUACAUGCACUUCUGCUAAUUGAAUCAUUGUUCUUGGAAACACUGCAGCUGAGUUCAUGAAAUACACAUAAGCAGGUGUAUCGUAAGUUUAAGCUGAGCAUUUGUAUUAGAAUUCAUAUGGAAAACCUUGAACUGUGAACUUCAGAAAUGGAAGUCCAAUAAGCCUUCCACAGUUCAAAAGAUUUCAUCAGCGUCUCAUUUACUGAAUACCUUAGGCACACCAACACAAUAAAUGUGAAAGAAGACUCUUCUUUCCAUGUUUUGACCCUCUUUUUCCAGGCCCUACAAGCUGUUUUCCCAUAUGACUUCAACUACCUUCAAAAGACCUGUAAUUUCCUUCACUUUUCUUCUCGCUUGGAAAGUAUUUGAGAUUUUAAAGGGCAUAUUGCUAGCAGCAGGAGCUGGGAGUUCAGGAAGAAGAGAGACGGUGAAAAAGAAGUAUAGAAAAGAGUCAUAGUAAAAGAUAUUCCAUAGACUAAACAACGUGUUUGUUCCAAACGUCCUUCAAAUUCAGAAACAAAGCAAAAUUUGCUUCCUACGUGAAAAUACAUAAAGCAGGACUGAAGGAGAUAGGAAAAAAAAUCUUCCUAGUGACCCUAAAAGAGGGAAAACUAAUGAAAGCCACAGUACUAGCACACUGAGAACACAAGUAUGCAAAAGAUGAAUGUAACUUACAAAAUGUGCAUCUUAUAGAAUGUACAGUUCAAAACAACCAUUAUCUAAAGCUGUAUUUUUGUGUGGGUUUUUUGUUGUUUUGUUUUUUGUUUUUGUUUUUUUUUUUUGUUUUGUUUUUAAUAAAAACCUCUUCCUUGUGGAAAUAUAAGAAUAUUGUUGUUAUAACAACAAAGUAUUGUUACGUUCUGAUAUCCUUGGGAAAGGUUAAAACAAAGGCAAAAACACCAAAAAAAAAAAAAAAAAGUGCAAAACAACAGAUAAAGAAGCUAUCUCCACAAAGAUAACAAUAUACCAGCAUAUUCCUUGAAGCACUGAAACCUGGAAAGAAAAGGGGAUUUUGAAGUAGGAAGAGCCAGCGAACUAUGGAAAUACAAAUGGGUGCUCCAUAGUUUUGUUUUGUUUUCAUUCCAGAUGUACACAUGGACCUUCCUUUCAACGCACCAGCUCCAUAGAGAAAUCAUCAGCUUGAAUCACCUAUUCCAAGUGGUACUCAGGACAGAACUCUCACAAGCAGGAUUGAUGACAUAUCAAGCAGGAUUGAUGGCAUAUCCAAAUCCAAAUUUGGAGUUUGGUUAUUGCCUUUAUCUGUCUACUGCAAGAAAAGGCCUCAUUCCUGUACCAGAGCAAAAGAAACUUUCCUUUUCUUUCCUUUAAACUACUGAUAGAGUCUGGUCUGAUGGCAUUCCACAUUUUAACUCACCUUCAUAAUGAAGAUAAAAUUCCUCAUUUUCAGUCAAACUCAAGUGGCCAGACAUGGGCCACAGGAUAACAAUGUGUCUAUCCAUCAAAGACAGCAAAACUGAAUCCAAAUUCGUUCAAGCUGCAGUAGAAGAAAAGUCCAUUUUCCUCCAGUUUUCAGAGAUCUUUUAAAGAUAGGUCUGGUUUUAUUAAGACCUUGAUGAGAGGAGCUCCCUUGUUGUACAAAAUCUAAGGAAGUGGUUUGGCAGGUACUGAGCAUACACAAUUAGAUAUUUCUAUCAUUCUCUGAACUUUGAGACCAUCUUACCCUGAACAGCCCUGAGGAUAUUUUGGGACUAUUUUGAUCAGUUUUAGAAACUGCCAUAGCAUCCUGGCCAUUGUGCCACUUCCUCAGCUCUGCUGCAAUGUACGUAAGACCAGGCAGGACUGGACUAGUUACCUGUUGUGUUGUGAAGAGGUGUGUCAAGCUCAGGAAAUUUCCAAGGGCAUCCAAAAAAGCCUUUUAGUUUCCUUGGGUUACAGAGCAGGUUCAAUCCAGGAUCAAGCUCCAGAUGGGUUGUUUGUACAGCACUGAAAAACAUUAUCAAAGAAUAGUAUUAAUAAAGACGUUAAAUUUAAAACUACUACACACACAGAGUCUGCUGACCAAUGCAGAUCUGAACGAUAGAAUAUUUACAGUUACAACCUAGCACCCCAAAAUUACGGCAUAGAAGUAUUCAGAGGGAGGAAAAAGGGCUCGAAUGGUAAGUCAGAAAAUCUUCAUAAACAUUGUGAUGUAUCAAUGGCUUUCACUAAUGGGUUUUUAGAAAUACAGAUCAGAAAAUUAGAUUUCUCACUUAAUCAAGGUAUUAUUUAGUUAGGAACUUCAGGCUCAUUUAUUUCUGGCACUGCACAUCAAAAAAAGAAAUGCAUUUUUAUACAUGUGUGUAUGUACACACACCUGUGCAUAUGGCACUGUCUGAAUGGGUUGUCAAGAAGGAUGAGGACUUCAAAUAAAUUCCUCUAUUCAGCUUCUGGUUUUAAUGGAGAAGAUAGCUUAUAUAAUUUAUUCUAUUAGAAAACAAGUUGGAAAAAAAAUCACUACAUCUACCUGCACAGCUUCAACACUCG
rnacentral:lncRNA from 1 species